GCCUCAAUAGCUCAGUGGUUAGAGCACUGGUCUCGUAAACCAGGGGUCGGGGGAGUUCGAACCUCCCUUGAGGCU